rnacentral:rRNA from 1 species
UUUAUGGGGUGACUGCGUACCUUUUGUAUAAUGGGUCAGCGACUUAUAUUCUGUAGCAAGGUUAACCGAAUAGGGGAGCCGAAGGGAAACCGAGUCUUAACUGGGCGUUAAGUUGCAGGGUAUAGACCCGAAACCCGGUGAUCUAGCCAUGGGCAGGUUGAAGGUUGGGUAACACUAACUGGAGGACCGAACCGACUAAUGUUGAAAAAUUAGCGGAUGACUUGUGGCUGGGGGUGAAAGGCCAAUCAAACCGGGAGAUAGCUGGUUCUCCCCGAAAGCUAUUUAGGUAGCGCCUCGUGAAUUCAUCUCCGGGGGUAGAGCACUGUUUCGGCAAGGGGGUCAUCCCGACUUACCAACCCGAUGCAAACUGCGAAUACCGGAGAAUGUUAUCACGGGAGACACACGGCGGGUGCUAACGUCCGUCGUGAAGAGGGAAACAACCCAGACCGCCAGCUAAGGUCCCAAAGUCAUGGUUAAGUGGGAAACGAUGUGGGAAGGCCCAGACAGCCAGGAUGUUGGCUUAGAAGCAGCCAUCAUUUAAAGAAAGCGUAAUAGCUCACUGGUCGAGUCGGCCUGCGCGGAAGAUGUAACGGGGCUAAACCAUG